CGUCCCUUCGCGCCCGCCCAACGGAGACGAACCUGGAGACGUGCCCUGUGGGCUGACCCUGAUUCUCCCACCUUUAAUACACGCGCAAGGCAUCAAUGAGAACUAGGCUUCGACCACACCCUGCAGGGAGCAGGAGCCUUUAACACGGUCAACACGCAAGAUCUCACCCACCCAGAAACUCACUUCUUGAGAUCUCUAACCAUAUGAGGAGACAAAAACAAGAUAAAGCAAACAACGGAAC
rnacentral:lncRNA from 1 species